rnacentral:antisense_RNA from 1 species
CUUCAUCGACCCCAGCAGCGCCGGGUGUUCGGCGGAUCGGCCCUGGCCGUACGUGGCGAGCAGCGCCUGUGCCUC